AUAUUUGAGAGUUUGAUCCUAGCUCAGGGUGAACGCUGGUAACGUGGAUACCGGCAUGCAAGUCACGGGGGCCGCAAGGCAACCGGCGAACGGCUUAGUAACACGUAGGUACAUACCCCAAAGUGGAGCAUAGCUCGUUGAAAAACGGGGUA
rnacentral:rRNA from 1 species